GAGAGCAGGGGUGAGGACGGCUGAUCGGGCCACGUUGCCGUGUUUUAAUGGGGAGAUGCGGUAUAAUAGCUUUGACCUCUGACCUUUUGUGGUGACUAUAGCUCAUUACGCUGAUCUGUGAGUGUCAGAGUGGCAUCUGAGAGCGAGUGAGCGUGUGUGUGUGUAGCAAGAUCUGCUGCAGAGCAGUCUCCUCUCAGCCUGUCCAUCUUCAUUUGAUCACAUCCAGAGAGAAUCAACUCUUACUCCCCAUUAGGAAUGAACACUGACUGAAGUCCUUCGUCAGUUUGCUUCAACACUCUACACUUUGGGUCAGUGACUGUGUUCAACAUGGAGAGGACAAGAGCCAUAUACACGAGAGGAUCCAUGUGACAUGUUGAUG